AUCUUUUAACAUCCGAGCGGCAACCAUGUUGAACUUCCUCUAAACUGUCCGCGAGUGAUUUAUUACCUAAAUUUAUAAGUCCAUUUAUUUGGGUUUUUUAUUGAACCUGGGUGGUAAAGUGAUUAGAUCCAAUUUCUAUAGCCAGAUGAUAGACGAGCAGCAAUUUCCUAAUGUUUGCCAAUGGGUUAUCAGAUAAAAUUCAAGAAAACCAAUUAUCUCGGCCAUCAACCGGUAGAAUAGAAGACAUGCAAUAGUUUUAUUGCAAUUUAAUAUUCAAUAAAAUAAAAAAAUGAUUCAAUAAAAACAAAAGUUCA